rnacentral:rRNA from 1 species
AAACUUGAGAGUUUGAUCCUGGCUCAGAACGAACGCUGGCGGCAUGCCUAACACAUGCAAGUCGAACGAGACCUUCGGGUCUAGUGGCGCACGGGUGCGUAACGCGUGGGAAUCUGCCCUUGGGUUCGGAAUAACUCGCCGAAAGGCGUGCUAAUACCGGAUGAUGUCGUAAGACCAAAGAUUUAUCGCCCAAGGAUGAGCCCGCGUAGGAUUAGCUUGUUGGUGAGGUAAAAGCUCACCAAGGCGACGAUCCU